GUUUUGACCUCGGAUCAGGUGAGAAUACCCGCUGAACUUAAGCAUAUCAAUAAGCGGAGGAAAAGAAACCAACAGGGAUUGCCUCAGUAACGGCGAGUGAAGCGGCAUCAGCUCAAAUUUGAAAUCUGGCUCUUUUAGGGUCCGAGUUGUAAUUUGUAGAGGGAGCUUUGGCGUUGGCUGUGGUCUAAGUUCCUUGGAACAGGACGUCACAGAGGGUGAGAAUCCCGUACGUGGCCGCCAGUCUUCGCCGUGUAAAGCCCCUUCGACGAGUCGAGUUGUUUGGGAAUGCAGCUCUAAAUGGGAGGUAAAUUUCUUCUAAAGCUAAAUAUUGGCCAGAGACCGAUAGCGCACAAGUAGAGUGAUCGAAAGAUGAAAAGCACUUUGGAAAGAGAGUCAAAAAGCACGUGAAAUUGUUGAAAGGGAAGCGCUUGCAGCCAGACUUGCCUGUAGUUGCUCAUCCGGGCUUUUGCCCGGUGCACUCUUCUAUGGGCAGGCCAGCAUCAGUCCGGGCGGUUGGAUAAAGGCCUGCUAAAUGUACCUCUCUUCGGGGAGGACUUAUAGGGUAGGUGGCAUACAACCAGCCUGGAUUGAGGUCCGCGCAUCUGCUAGGAUGCUGGCGUAAUGGCUGUAAGCGGCCCGUCUUGAAACACGGACCAAGGAGUCUAACAUCUAUGCGAGUGUUUGGGUGUCAAGCCCGAGCGCGUAAUGAAAGUGAACGGAGGUGGGAACCCUUUUGGGUGCACCAUCGACCGAUCCUGAUGUCUUCGGAUGGAUUUGAGUAAGAGCAUAGCUGUUGGGACCCGAAAGAUGGUGAACUAUGCCUGAAUAGGGUGAAGCCAGAGGAAACUCUGGUGGAGGCUCGCAGCGGUUCUGACGUGCAAAUCGAUCGUCAAAUUUGGGCAUAGGGGCGAAAGACUAAUCGAACCAUCUAGUAGCUGGUUCCUGCCGAAGUUUCCCCUCAGGAUAGCAGUAACGUUUUUCAGUUUUUGUGAGGUAAAGCCGAAUGAUUUAGAGGC
rnacentral:rRNA from 1 species